rnacentral:rRNA from 1 species
UAGGGAAUAUUGGGCAAUGGGCGGAAGCCUGACCCAGCCAUGCCGCGUGAGGGAUGAAGGUUUUCGGAUUGUAAACCUCUUUUGCACGGGAAGAAAGGCGAAUGUGCGCAUUUGUUUGACGGUACCGUGAGAAUAAGCACCGGCUAACUACGUGCCAGCAGCCGCGGUAAUACGUAGGGUGCAAGCGUUGUCCGGAUUUAUUGGGUCUAAAGGGUGCGCAGGCGGUUCGAUAAGUCAGCGGUGAAAUACCCGGGCUCAACCCUGGAAGUGCCGUUGAUACUGUUGGACUUGAAUGCAGGAGAGGCAGCCGGAAUUGGCGGUGUAGCGGUGAAAUGCAUAGAUACCGCCAGGAACACCGAAGGCGAAGGCAGGCUGCCGGUCUGACAUUGACGCUCAGGCA